rnacentral:lncRNA from 1 species
CGGCAUAGGCGGAAACAAAAGAAUCGUAAUUCCUGCGUUAUAAAAAAACAGAUAAUCCAUAUCUUGCAGUUCAUGCAAGCGUUGUGAAAUUUAUGAAAUGAAACUAAAUCAUGACACUUAAACUUACAGGCUACCAAUCGUUUGUUGAGAAAUUCCGUCAACAUAUUGUACAUCAAAUGGAUUAGGCAUUUUAUCCCGGUAUGCUUCAAUCGUCGACCAAUCAGUAUGGACCUUUUGAUCCAAAAAGCCACUCAUAUCAAGGUAAGUAAGCAAUAUUUUGGCCAGUUUUUGUAUCUCAGACAACGAUCCG